GCUUAUCACCAUUCCAGAUUGAAUAUACCCGAUCUCGUCUGAUCUCGAAAUUCAAGCAAUCUCGGGCUUGGUUAGUACUUGGAUGGGUGACCGCUUGGGAAUACCAAGUGUGAUAAGCA
rfam:Ciona savignyi cont_34032, whole genome shotgun sequence.